rnacentral:rRNA from 1 species
AACGAACGCUGGCGGCAUGCCUAACACAUGCAAGUCGAACGAGACCUUCGGGUCUAGUGGCGCACGGGUGCGUAACGCGUGGGAAUCUGCCCUUGGGUUCGGAAUAACAGUUAGAAAUGACUGCUAAUACCGGAUGAUGACGUAAGUCCAAAGAUUUAUCGCCCAAGGAUGAGCCCGCGUAGGAUUAGCUAGUUGGUAAGGUAAAGGCUUACCAAGGAGACGAUCCUUAGCGGGUCUGAGAGGAUGAUCAGCCACACUGGGACUGAGACACGGCCCAGACUCCUACGGGAGGCAGCAGUGGGGAAUAUUGGACAAGGGGCGAAAGCCUGAUCCAGCAAUGCCGCGUGAGUGAUGAAGGCCUUAGGGUUGUAAAGCUCUUUUACCAGGGAUGAUAAUGACAGUACCUGGAGAAUAAGCUCCGGCUAACUCCGUGCCAGCCGCCGCUGUAA